UUCUACUCAAACUACUCAAAUUUCCAACAAUACCCUACAUUUGAGUUGAAAUUUCAUUCAAACUCCAACAGAAAUCACAGAAUUCUCCGGCACCUACGAAAAGAAUGAAGUUGGAGGCUGGCUAUGUACGCAAGGUGCACUCGAACAUUUUUUCAUUUGAUAGUUUUUGCAUCUCUUAUCUGUUUGAUCUUUGUUGAAUCGCGUACUUUAUUAUGAUCGAUAUGAGGUUGUUACACUCAAGUUGAAUAGCGUAUUUAAACCACCCAGUUGUGAUUAACGAGGUUCAAUAGUUUAUGAAUCUUUCAUAAGAAUUUCUGAAGGGCUCUUUAUACAUUUGUGAAGCAGGUUGCUGAAAAACUCAAGCAUCAACCUCUCUGGUUACACAAGGUGUCGAAAAUGGUCGGAGCUGAUGCUGCCAGACCUAAAGUUACCGUUCCGAAGGAACCAAAUUUGGAAACAGCAAAUAGAGCACAAAGACGUAUAAGGUUAAUGCCAAACCAGGAGAAGAAUCAAAAGCAAGUUCAUACUCCUUUUAAUGCUCG